GGGGACCCGCAAGCGGUGGAUGAUGUGGAUUAAUUCGAUGCAACGCGAAAAACCUUACCUACCCUUGACAUGUAUGGAAGACCGAAGAGAUUUGGUUGUGCUCGAAAGAGAACCGUAACACAGGUGCUGCAUGGCUGUCGUCAGCUCGUGUCGUGAGAUGUUGGGUUAAGUCCCGCAACGAGCGCAACCCUUGUCAUUAGUUGCUACAUUCAGUUGAGCACUCUAAUGAGACUGCCGGUGACAAACCGGAGGAAGGUGGGGAUGACGUCAAGUCCUCAUGGCCCUUAUGGGUAGGGCUUCACACGUCAUACAAUGGUACAUACAGAGGGCCGCCAACCCGCGAGGGGGAGCUAAUCCCAGAAAGUGUAUCGUAGUCCGGAUCGCAGUCUGCAACUCGACUGCGUGAAGUUGAAAUCGCUAGUAAUCGCGGAUCAGCAUGUCGCGGUGAAUACGUUCCCGGGUCUUGUACACACC
rnacentral:rRNA from 1 species